AGGUUGUACGUAAGUGUGCUGGUCCUAUUUAAGGGCAGUGUGUGACUGAGCAUGUGUUUUGCCCUGAAGAAUAACCUUCUGACCAUCUUUGGAAGGCCAUCAUGAUCAUCAAAACUCUGAUUCUCCUCUUCAUUCUUCCUGGUUUGGAAACUCUUGUGCUUACGCAGGAGAAAGCGAUGUCUGUCAAAGCAGGAGAAAUUAUUAAGAUGUCCUGCAGAACAGAUUCCUCUUCAAAUUAUGCUUUAGCAUGGUACCAACAAAAACCAGGGAAAUCACCGACGUUCUUACUUGUUGAUGGCACCAGAGCAAGUGGACUGCUGAGUCGAUUCACCUACAGUGGAUCUGGAUCGCAAAGAUAUCUUCAUAUUAACGGUGUUCAGGCUGAAGAUGAAGCCGUCUAUUACUGUGCUUGUCAUGGCUGUGUAGGAAGUGGCACGUUGCUGCAGUUUAUUGAUCCCCUCAUACAAAAACCCCAACACAACCUCAACUGGAAAUAAAUUAGUCUGAAACACCCACAGUUCUACACAAACACACCCUGUAGUGUUCAGUAUGAGCAGGGUCAUGAGUUCUGCACCACUUCCUGUCCCAAUUAUUACUAUUUUGUCCUGUUUAGUGUGUUUAUGUUCUAUAGUCCUGAUCACUGAAGUGUUAAGUGUGAGCAGGAACAGUGCGCUACGGCCCUGAGGUUUUUGUACUGAGAUCUAACACUGUGCAACACCGCAGUGUUUGGUGGAGGCACUGAAGUAACUUUUGGUAAGUAAAAUCUUACUUACGUCCUUUUCUAACUGCUGAUUUUUUUUUUCAUACAUAGACCUGAAGAAAAAUAUCUAUUAGAAAAAACAUUUAAAAUCCCUUCAUCAAUGUAAAAGGAUCAGUAGUGCUCAUGAUUGUUAGACACUUGUUAUGGAAAUGUUCUUCAUUAUUAUUUGUAUUUUGGAAUGAAUCACUUUCCAA